UCCCUGGUGGUCCAGUGGUUAGGACUCUACACUCCCAAUGAAGGGGGGCCUGGGUUCAUUCCUUGGUCAGGGAA
rnacentral:tRNA from 1 species